rnacentral:rRNA from 1 species
AUUGAACGCUGGCGGCAGGCCUAACACAUGCAAGUCGAGCGAGCGGCGGACGGGUGAGUAAUGGAUGGGGACCUGCCCGAUAGAGGGGGAUAACUACUGGAAACGGUGGCUAAUACCGCAUACUACCCGAUGAGCCCAUAUGGGAUGAGCUAGUAGGUGGGGUAAAGGCUCACCUAGGCGACGAUCCCUAGCUGGUCUGAGAGGAUGAUCGGCCACACUGGGACUGAGACACGGCCCAGACUCCUACGGGAGGCAGCAGUGGGGAAUAUUGCGCAAUGGGCGAAAGCCUGAUGCAGCCAUGCCGCGUGUAUGAAGAAGGCCUUAGGGUUGUAAAGUACUUUCAGCGGGGAGGCGUUACCCGCAGAAGAAGCACCGGCUAACUACGUGCCAGCAGCCGCGGUAAUAC